rnacentral:lncRNA from 1 species
GAAGAGACCAUCCCUUCUUAUCCCUAAUCAACUGUCUAUUAUAAGAACGUAUUCUUUUUUUAUCUGCUGUAAUUAGAGCAAAUUUUCAUGCCUAUUCCGUAUGUAGUUUCACAUGUGCUGUUCUGUAUGCAGAGCUGUCGGUUCUCUGAUCUCUCUGAGUAGUGAAUGCCACUCAAACAUCAUGCACCUGAACCAAGGGCUUCAUUGCGUGCAUUGGCAGUUAACACCAGGAUCCAAGGGUCGGAGAAGUAGCACACAAACCAUCCACUGCCAAUAGAACAAGGUCCAGACGGCAGUACCUUUUAUCAGACUUGAACCAGCAAGGAAUGCAUAACCAGGAUGCCAAUUUCUUGUGGCCAAUUGCAUCACAUGGAGCUGCAACCCACGUUUGUGAAGUCGUUGAGUCCAAGAUGCACCAGAUUUCAGAAAUGAAUUGAUUCUCUGUUUGCAAGUCACCACCAGUCAAUAAUUGGACCC